UUGAUCCUGGCUCAGGACGAACGCUGGCGGCACGCUUAACACAUGCAAGUCGAACGAGAGAAGAGAAGCUUGCUUUUCUGAUCUAGUGGCGGACGGGUGAGUAACACGUGAGCAAUCUGCCUUUCAGAGGGGGAUACCGAUUGGAAACGAUCGUUAAUACCGCAUAACAUAAUUGAACCGCAUGAUUUGAUUAUCAAAGAUUUAUCGCUGAAAGAUGAGCUCGCGUCUGAUUAGCUAGUUGGUAAGGUAACGGCUUACCAAGGCGACGAUCAGUAGCCGGACUGAGAGGUUGAUCGGCCACAUUGGGACUGAGACACGGCCCAGACUCCUACGGGAGGCAGCAGUGGGGAAUAUUGCACAAUGGAGGAAACUCUGAUGCAGCGAUGCCGCGUGAGGGAAGAAGGUUUUAGGAUUGUAAACCUCUGUCUUCAGGGACGAAAAAAGACGGUACCUGAGGAGGAAGCUCCGGCUAACUACGUGCCAGCAGCCGCGGUAAUACGUAGGGAGCGAGCGUUGUCCGGAAUUACUGGGUGUAAAGGGAGCGUAGGCGGGAUCGCAAGUCAGAUGUGAAAACUAUGGGCUUAACCCAUAAACUGCAUUUGAAACUGUGGUUCUUGAGUGAAGUAGAGGUAAGCGGAAUUCCUAGUGUAGCGGUGAAAUGCGUAGAUAUUAGGAGGAACAUCAGUGGCGAAGGCGGCUUACUGGGCUUUAACUGACGCUGAGGCUCGAAAGCGUGGGGAGCAAACAGGAUUAGAUACCCUGGUAGUCCACGCCGUAAACGAUGAUUACUAGGUGUGGGGGGACUGACCCCUUCCGUGCCGCAGCAAACGCAAUAAGUAAUCCACCUGGGGAGUACGACCGCAAGGUUGAAACUCAAAGGAAUUGACGGGGGCCCGCACAAGCAGUGGAGUAUGUGGAUUAAUUCGAAGCAACGCGAAGAACCUUACCAGGUCUUGACAUCGUAUGCAUAGCUCAGAGAUGAGUGAAAUCUCUUCGGAGACAUAUAGACAGGUGGUGCAUGGUUGUCGUCAGCUCGUGUCGUGAGAUGUUGGGUUAAGUCCCGCAACGAGCGCAACCCUUACUGUUAGUUGCUACGCAAGAGCACUCUAGCAGGACUGCCGUUGACAAAACGGAGGAAGGUGGGGAUGACGUCAAAUCAUCAUGCCCCUUAUGACCUGGGCCUCACACGUACUACAAUGGCUGUUAACAGAGGGAUGCAAAGCCGCGAGGUGGAGCGAACCCCUAAAAGCAGUCUUAGUUCGGAUUGUAGGCUGCAACCCGCCUACAUGAAGUCGGAAUUGCUAGUAAUCGCAGAUCAGCAUGCUGCGGUGAAUACGUUCCCGGACC
rnacentral:rRNA from 1 species